rnacentral:rRNA from 1 species
AGGACGAACGCUGGCGGCGUGCUUAACACAUGCAAGUCGAACGGAAAGGCCCUUCGGGGUACUCGAGUGGCGAACGGGUGAGUAACACGUGGGUGAUCUGCCCUGCACUUUGGGAUAAGCCUGGGAAACUGGGUCUAAUACCGAAUAGGACCACGGCAUGCAUGUGCUGUGGUGGAAAGCUUUUGCGGUGUGGGAUGGGCCCGCGGCCUAUCAGCUUGUUGGUGGGGUGAUGGCCUACCAAGGCGACGACGGGUAGCCGGCCUGAGAGGGUGUCCGGCCACACUGGGACUGAGAUACGGCCCAGACUCCUACGGGAGGCAGCAGUGGGGAAUAUUGCACAAUGGGCGCAAGCCUGAUGCAGCGACGCCGCGUGGGGAUGACGGCCUUCGGUUGUAACCCUUCAGUAGGGACGAAGCGCAAGUGACGGUACCUACAGAAGAAGCACCGGCCAACUACGCGCCAGCAGCCGCGGUAA